GAUGGCAUUGUGUUCUGCAUGGCUGAGGUAAUGGGGAAGUGAUGCUGCUUUUCCAAAAUUUCAGCUCAUGCAUGUCUACAGAAGCACUGUAUGUAGAAGUCCAGUCUGUUGUUUCGACCUUCAGGAGGAGUCCACACAAAGAAGAGUGUAUGGCAGCCUGUUUUAUCCCACAAUUACAUCAAGGCAUCUCAUGUGUUCUCUUGUGGCUGUAUCAUCCACUCUGCGAAGAGCAAGGUCGUGAACAGAUGUAACAUAGGACUGUAUCGGCUUCCAUGGAAGACUUCGAAUGAUGUUUGGCCUUUUUUUCAAUCAGUUUUUUGUGCCUGUGUUUCUCAAAAUGUUCACAGCCUAUAUUGAUAGUUGCUCUCCAUUUAGGUCUGUCCUUGGCUGUGUCUUCGCAGUUGUCAGUAUUUAUGCCACACGAGCAGAGAUUCUGCUUAUGGUUGUCUUUGAAGCAUUUAUUUUGUCCACUGCACCUUUUGAGUUUCAGCUCACCAUAGAGGACUUUUCUGGGGAUUCUGUCAUCACCCGUUCUGAUAACAUGACCUGUCUUUCUAAGAUGAGCUUUGAUAAUCAGUGCCUCAAGGUUGGUUCUUUUUGCUCUUUCAAGGAUGUUAAUGUUUGACACCCUGUAUUGACAGUAGACUUUCAGGAUAGAGCAAAGACAGAACGUGAAAUUUUUCCAGUUGCUUGAUGUACCUGUGGUUAACUGUUUACGUUUCAACCUGUAUAAAAGGGAUGCUAUCACCACUGGAUUUUAUAUCAUCAGUUUUGUUGACAAUUAGAUGGUAUGCUGGUUGAGUAUCCUAUGGCAAAGUCUUCCAAAAGCCUGUCCUGCCUUUCUUAUUCUGAGUGACAUUUUUGAUCUAAGGAACCAUCACUUGAGAUGGUGCUGCCAAGUAUGUAAAGUGAUUGACAUUCUUUAGUUUUGUACCAACAGUGGUGAUGUUUGGCAUGGUGGUGGUGGUUAACAGAGGACUUCAGUUUUUUCCAGCUUGAUGAUUUGAUACUGCCUUUUACAGAGAAGAGACAUACACACUGUGCUCGCCUACAGAAAGUUAUCUCGUUAUUGUUUACCUUCAUCUCAAGUAAGUCAUUUUAGAUUGAAAGGAUACUAUUAGUCCUUUGUGAAUGGAAAAGAAUAAAUGGAAUGGGAGCAGAGAGAAAGAAAAGGUAGAAAGUACGGGAGGAAGGAGAGAUGAAGGAAAAGCGGGGGGAGAAAGAGGUGUUACUUUCCUCUCUCAUCUUUCAUCUCUUUUAUUUCCUUUCCCCCUUCCCUUUUCCUUAAUCAUAUUUCACCUUCUAUUUUCACCUUCCUUAUAACCAUAUAUAAUAGAUUGGCUAAGUUUUUCCCUCUCUUUAUUCUUAUCCAUCCCUUCUCAUUCUGUCUCAUUUUCCUUUUCUUACCCUCUUCUGCCUUCUCAUUUAUCACACCUUAUUAGCUGUAUUUAUUCUUCUAUACAUAUAUGUCAAUAAUGUUUAAUUAAUCUUCCUGCAGUAUCCACUGCUUCUGUCAGUCCAGUAAUCUGAUUAUUCCCAAUCAAUGGAUUCAUAAAGCAGUACUAGUAAUUCAUGCUGUGCCACUAAUACUAAAUUGACUGUUCUCCCAUCAUCUGGUAGUUCACGCCAAUAUCAUAUCUGUACGUUACUGAAGUGUAUAACUUGUAUCAGUGUGUCCAUCAGAAACAUACAAUUUGACUAUACUGGAUGUUUGGAUAGAUAAAAAAUUUGGACUGAUGAAAUUGGGAUAAGAGUAAAAGAGGUGAAAUGAAAAAAAGUGAAAUUUUAUGAGAAUGCAUCAAUAGUUUGGCCUGUAUUUUCAAAGGUACUCAACACCCACAUCUCUCACUGGCUUCAAUUGGAUUUGUAGAUACUCAGCAGCUUUGAAAAUCAGACGAUAAAACAUAGAUGUGGAAUGGAUACUCUAUACUUAUAUCAUACUCCCUUGAGCUUCAUAUCCUGGAGUCAAUGAGCGAAAAAGUUAAAGAAAACCACUGGAAUUCUGUACCCAUUCUAAUUUUGAAAUCCAUUAAUCAGAGAUAAUAUUUUCCAACUGAGAACAUGUAAGAUGUAAUCUCAACAGAAUACAUAUAAGGGGCCAAUCUCCUCUUAAUACCUGCAGAGUUGUCUGCUGAGUUCUCUAUACAUUUAGAUAAGAUAAUACUCUACAGUACCUGUAAAUAGCACACAGAAUAAAUUUGCUGAAAUAGCAGAGAAUAAAUGUUGAAAGGAGCAUCUGCCUCCCUCCAUUAUAGAAACUAUAUUGAUAAAGCCCCCCCCAAAAUAAUUUGAAAAUUGACUCCUGUUUGAAAAUCCAAAAAGCACUAGAGUGAUCAGAUUGGGAGUUGAGCAACAUCAGUUCUAUUCCCAUGUUUGACAUGUCCCACCAUGUGACCCUGGUUGAAUUGGUUAACCUUUCUGUCCCUUGUUGUCCUCACCUGAAAACUGGGAAUAAUAAUACUUUUCCAAAGUGCUUUGACUUCCAUGGCUGAAAAUUGCCAUAUAAGUGCUGAAAACAUAUUACUAUUGUUUUGUUAUUUAUUAUGUUACAUACUCUAGCUGGUGAAAGCCAGAGUUGUUGUAACC